rnacentral:rRNA from 1 species
UACGUAGGGGGCAAGCGUUAUCCGGAUUUACUGGGUGUAAAGGGAGCGUAGACGGCGCGGCAAGUCUGAAGUGAAAGGCAGGGGCUUAACCCCUGAACUGCUUUGGAAACUGCCAUGCUAGAGUGCUGGAGAGGUAGGUGGAAUUCUUGGUGUAGGGGUAAAAUCCGUAGAGAUCAAGAGGAAUACUCAUUGCGAAGGCGACCUGCUAGAACAUAACUGACGCUGAUGCGCGAAAGCGUGGGGAGCAAACAGG